AUUGAACGCUGGCGGCAGGCUUAACACAUGCAAGUCGAGCGGAGUGAUGGUGCUUGCACUAUCACUUAGCGGCGGACGGGUGAGUAAUGCUUAGGAAUCUGCCAUUUAGUGGGGGACAACAUUCCGAAAGGAAUGCUAAUACCGCAUACGUCCUACGGGAGAAAGCAGGGGAUCUUCGGACCUUGCGCUAAAUGAUGAGCCUAAGUCGGAUUAGCUAGUUGGUGGGGUAAAGGCCUACCAAGGCGACGAUCUGUAGCGGGUCUGAGAGGAUGAUCCGCCACACUGGGACUGAGACACGGCCCAGACUCCUGCGGGAGGCAGCAGUGGGGAAUAUUGGACAAUGGGCGGAAGCCUGAUCCAGCCAUGCCGCGUGUGUGAAGAAGGCCUUUUGGUUGUAAAGCACUUUAAGCGAGGAGGAGGCUCUCCUAGUCAAUACCUAGGAAGAGUGGACGUUACUCGCAGAAUAAGCACCGGCUAACUCUGUGCCAGCCGCCGCCGUAAAAC
rnacentral:rRNA from 1 species